UAUUGGUCCCUUCGCGGCGAUAGAUUGUGAACCCCGUCAGGCCCGGAAGGGAGCAGCGGUAACGAUUGAUUCGAGCGCCGAAGUGCGGCUCUUAGAG
rnacentral:SRP_RNA from 2 species